UGGCUCUCGCAUCGAUGAAGAACGCGGCGAAAUGCGAUAAGUAAUGUGAAUUGCAGAUUUCAGUGAAUCAUCGAAUCUUUGAACGCACCUUGCGCUCCUAGGUCUUCCGAGGAGCAUGCCUGUUUGAGUGCCCAGAACUACCCUCAACCUACACCUUUGUGUGAAGGUCGGAUUUGGAGGUCUGCCAUUGACUUGGCUCCUCCUAAAAGUGUUAGCUUGCUGGUGAUGAACCGCUGUCAGCUUGAUAUUAUUGUCUAUGCUUCAGUUGUUCAUGUGCCUUGGCUUACAAUCGUCUUUGGACAAUGUUAUUCUGAGCUCGGGCCUCAAAUCAGGUAGGACUACCCGCUGA
rnacentral:misc_RNA from 1 species